CAAGAACGAGCCAUUGUGCCGAAUUUAUUCGAAAGCGGUAGCAUCAUAAAAGGCAACAAAACGAACUUGCCCACCUUAAACAUAUCCACCCAACAGUGCCUUCAUCUCGACAAUCGACACCCACGACACAUUUGAUCAGCAAAGUAAAUAGAAAUGGAACAGCGCAAAAUUGUGUGCAUUCACAAAAAGACAUCGCAAAAGAAAUGCUGCUCUUUAAUACAGUUGAAAAGCCAGCAUUUCAAGAAAUGUUGCAAAUGUUACAGUACGAAUUGCCUGUGAGAAGAUACAUGUACAUGUCACAAACGGCAACUCCACAACUUCACAAAGAAAGAUAACAUAUUAAAGGAAAUAUUGUAUUAUGAUUAUAUAUUAUUAUUAUUAUACCAGAGGAACAGAAAUGCCUGUGAUUGGUUGCUUUCCAGGAAAGCCUGCUUCCGUGACCUCUUCUUUCACCUGACAGCUACCUGUUCCAUUGUCGAACAAGAGGAGUCGGAGCAGAGGAUCACAGGUGACUGUGUACCUGUAUACCAGUAACUUUGGGCCUUAGGCGGGGUACUCUCUGGACAGGGGCCAGCUAGUUGCAAGACAUAUUUAGUGUGUUACCUGAAGACUCUCUGGCUGGUUUAUUGGGGUUUGAUAUCACCCCCAAACACCACAUCUCCUCAGGUGUUCUAUUCCCUGAGGUGUUCUUAGAAGCGCCGACUCCAAUUUCAAGAAGGAAGCUUUGACGAAACCCUGACGAUCUCCAGACGCAAGACGCUGCUUGCAAGCAAAGUGGAAACAUCCAAAAUAUCUAUUGUAUCAGACUUUUUUGUUUCUCUUUUUUGUAGUCUUAUUACAUUGCAGACUUAGCAAGGAUUCUCUUUUUGAUGUAUGGAUUUACAAUAUAUUUGUAUUUUAAAGGACUUCUACUUUGUCCUCCUUCCUAAGAGGCCAAGUUCCUCUGAAUAAAAACCUACAUUUGACAUUUGAAUAUCAUGUCCAAUAUUCAGUGCUGUAUAUAAGUGGCCAGUCAUUGAAAUACAAGAUGAAAUUUUAAUAUUUUAACCCCAGAAAAUAUAUAUUUUUUAAAUUCUAACCUUAACCCUAAAUUUAAAUAAUUGUCAAUAAAGUUGCCAGUCACAUUUUUUAUAUAUAAUUAUAGCGUAUUUAUUCUUAUCCUUAUCUUCUUUGCUGAUUGGCUAUAGGAGAUGAGCUGAUUAGCUCCAAUGGCUGGCUGGAUGUCGGGUCCCUGGCCAGGAAUUGCGUCUCUCUUAAUUAAUUUCAGCACUUCCCCAAUAUUUUAGAACAUCACACUAGCUUUGCUCUCUGGAGUUCAAAGUUCAAAUCCUGCAGGUGUCACAUGACAUGGACACUGAUCACUGAUUAUGCUACACCGGCUCGCUCCUUCCCCUCCAACUCUCCUGCUUGCUUGAUGUUGACGUUUUCAGAUCAACAUUUCAGAUCAACAUUUGCAAUAAAUGUGACUGUUGUAACUAUCACAUUAGAUUCAACUCCGGAACCCUCCUCAU